rnacentral:rRNA from 1 species
GAUGAACGCUGGUGGCGUGCCUAAUACAUGCAAGUAGAACGCUGAAGCUUGGUGCUUGCACCGAGCGGAUGAGUUGCGAACGGGUGAGUAACGCGUAGGUAACCUGCCUGGUAGCGGGGGAUAACUAUUGGAAACGAUAGCUAAUACCGCAUAACAGUAGAUAUUGCAUGAUAUCUGCUUGAAAGGGGCAAUUGCUCCACUACCAGAUGGACCUGCGUUGUAUUAGCUAGUUGGUGAGGUAACGGCUCACCAAGGCGACGAUACAUAGCCGACCUGAGAGGGUGAUCGGCCACACUGGGACUGAGACACGGCCCAGACUCCUACGGGAGGCAGCAGUAGGGAAUCUUCGGCAAUGGACGGAAGUCUGACCGAGCAACGCCGCGUGAGUGAAGAAGGUUUUCGGAUCGUAAAGCUCUGUUGUAAGAGAAGAACGAGUGUGAGAGUGGAAAGUUCACACUGUGACGGAACUACCAGAAAGGACG